AGAAACUUAGGAUGACCAUAAACCGAAGGCCUUCAAAGCCUUAAACAAGAGUUAAACCCUCUUAGU
rnacentral:tRNA from 1 species